rnacentral:rRNA from 1 species
GACGAACGCUGGCGGCGUGCUUAACACAUGCAAGUCGAACGGAAAGGCCCUGCUUUUGUGGGGUGCUCGAGUGGCGAACGGGUGAGUAACACGUGAGUAACCUGCCCUUGACUUUGGGAUAACUUCAGGAAACUGGGGCUAAUACCGGAUAGGAGCUCCUGCUGCAUGGUGGGGGUUGGAAAGUUUCGGCGGUUGGGGAUGGACUCGCGGCUUAUCAGCUUGUUGGUGGGGUAGUGGCUUACCAAGGCUUUGACGGGUAGCCGGCCUGAGAGGGUGACCGGCCACAUUGGGACUGAGAUACGGCCCAGACUGCUACGGGAGGCAGCAGUGGGGAAUAUUGCACAAUGGGCGGAAGCCGGAUGCAGCAACGCCGCGGGCGGGAUGACGGCCUGCGGGUUGUAAACCGCUUUCGCCUGUGACGAAGCGUGAGUGACGGUAAUGGGUAAAGAAGCACCGGCUAACUACGUG